UACGUAGGGUGCGAGCGUUAAUCGGAAUUACUGGGCGUAAAGCGUGCGCAGGCGGUUAUGUAAGACAGGUGUGAAAUCCCCGGGCUUAACCUGGGAACUGCAUUUGUGACUGCAUCGCUGGAGUGCGGCAGAGGGGGAUGGAAUUCCGCGUGUAGCAGUGAAAUGCGUAGAUAUGCGGAGGAACACCGAUGGCGAAGGCAAUCCCCUGGGCCUGCACUGACGCUCAUGCCCGAAAGCGUGGGGAGCAAACAGG
rnacentral:rRNA from 1 species